AGCUCCAAUAGCGUAUAUUAAAGUUGUUGCAGUUAAAAAGCUCGUAGUUGGAUUUGUGGCAGUCGCAUGCGGCCUGACACUUCGUGUUAGUGCCAGCCUGCGUCGCCAUCCUUGGGUGGAACCUGUGUGGCAUUAGGUUGUCGUGCAGGGGAUGCCCAUCUUUUACUGUGAAAAAAUUAGAGUGUUCAAAGCAGGCUUACGCCGUUGAAUAUAUUAGCAUGGAAUAAUAAGAUAGGACCUUGGUACUAUUUUGUUGGUUUGCGCACCGAGGUAAUGAUUAAUAGGGACAGUUGGGGGUAUUCGUAUUCCAUUGUCAGAGGUGAAAUUCUUGGAUUUUUGGAAGACAAACUACUGCGAAAGCAUUUACCAAGGAUGUUUUCA
rnacentral:rRNA from 1 species